UACGAAGGGGGCUAGCGUUGUCCGGAAUCAUUGGGCGUAAAGAGCGUGUAGGCGGCCCGGUAAGUCCGCUGUGAAAGUCCAGGGCUCAACCCUGGGAUGCCGGUGGAUACUGUCGGGCUCGAGUCCGGAAGAGGAGUGUGGAAUUCCUGGUGUAGCGGUGAGAUGCGCAGAUAUCAGGAGGAACACCAAUGGCGAAGGCAGCACUCUGGGACGUGACUGACGCUGAGACGCGAAAGCGUGGGGAGCAAACAGG
rnacentral:rRNA from 1 species